rnacentral:lncRNA from 1 species
UUCGUAUAACUUCAAACUUCGAAGUUCAAACACUUGACAUUUGUGGGAAUUAAGGGUAAACCAAUCAAGAACAGUGUUUGGUUAAACCGUUGAGAUUAAACCAAGUUUUAGAUUGUUCUUUUUAGGGCGGCUAAAAAAAUAAAAAAAAUCUAAAAUAGUUUAAAAAGUAUUUAGAAUUAACCAAGCGCUCGUAGCUUGGUGGUAAAUGAGGUACAGCUGUACUGUCCGCCACCCGGGUUCGAGUCUUGGCCACAACGGAUUUAACAUCCCUUCCAUUGGGGCACUGGACUCCUUUCGGAGGGAUAGUUGAGAAUGUGGCUGCCCAGAUACCAGAGUUAUAAAAAAAAAAAUAUUUAGAAUUUAAGAAAAAAAAUUGGAAAAUAAACUUUCGUAAUUUAUAAUCGAAUGAAUCAAUAUUACGAAGAGAAAUGAAUUAUUAGAUGCAUGAUCAAACAAACAUUUACCUUUUCCCGA